UCAAAUAUGGCUUUAGCUUUUGGUUGCUUCUUAAAACAUAAUAAAAUUUUUAUAGAAGCACCAAAGAUUUAAUUAUUUGUGCUCUGAAGUCUGUACCUUCCCCUGAUAUCAAAUAGGUUUGCACCUGUGUAUCUUGAGGGCAGAAUGUGGGCUUCUGGGAAAAACUUGUUUCUGUCUAAAAUGUAUUUAAAAGAGAGAACUUUGGCAAAGUACCAGUGAAGGAGUGGUGGAUGACUGUGACAUGUGGGAAACUUUAUUUCCUCAGGAAAAUAUCUGGAGAUAUGGCAAAGGAAGAAAAAUGAGUUUUGAAAAAAAAAAAAUUAAGGCCAAGGGAGAUUUUCAUUAAAGUUUUAGAGGCAGAGAUUUAUUUUCUUAAAAUAUCUUAUGGAUUUAGAAGAUGUCACAAGCUUAAGGAAGCCAAAGAUGAAGAAUCAGUGGAAGGAUAACUAAUUCCUGACCUAGCCCUCUGCUAUUGUUUCGCCAAUUCUUUCCAUUAAUUUCUCACAAUUCUGUGGGGUGUACUAGUGACUAUUUCGCAGUAAUGACAGGUGAGUGGAUACGAUAUGUGGUUCCUUCUAGUCAAAGAUUUUAAGAUGUUGUUCGUUAUUUACACAUUUGCCCCUUUCUUUGGCUGGAUUUAUAGUGACAAGGCCCCAGGGUGUGGCAGAUCCAGAGGUGGCAUAAGGCUGAGUUCUUGCAUCACUGCAUACAGGAACGGCACCAGGAAUGCUCAUCUUGGCCAACAUGUGAAUGGGAAAUAAACCUGCAUUGCGUGAAGAACCUGAACUUUUGGAGUUUAUUUGUUUCAGCAGGAGGAAAACAGCAUGUUUUGUGUUUCCCUUUGGCUUGAUGUAGCAGCUAAUGGUUGAUGAUUCUUGGUGGGGAAUAAUGGAGACAAGGAAGAUGUAUGUGAAUCCUGAACUUCAACUGGUGCUCGCGUGUCAGUUGGACAUGCUAAAGACUAAAAGGGAAGUAUCUCCAGCUUGCAUGCAUGACACCAUCAUCAUCAUACUACAUCAUCAUUGUAGCAGCCAGUGUGACCGUGCAUCUCUGUUUGACCAGGAAAAUCCCAGUUUAAUCCUAAGAUGCUGCCAUUCUUAACAACACUUUUUACUUUCAAAGCUGUCCCAAUGUGAUGAUAAAUUAUAUGGCCACUCAAGUCAUAAAUGAUAUUUAUUGAGCACUGAUUAUACACUAGGCGUUUACUUAUUAUGCUAUUUGUCUUCAUAACAACUUUAUGAAUUAGAUGUUCCGUUUAGCCUCAUGUUAAGGAUGAUGAAAUUGAGGCAGCAUUUAAGAGACUUACCCAUAGUUUUCCAGCUUGAACCCAGGCAAACUGUCUCCAGAACCCAAAAUCUUAAACACUUUACUGCUUCUUGCACAGAAAAUAUGGCGAUCUGCUCCACAUGGCUUCCUACUGUCAGGUUCAUCAUAAAAUACUAUCAACCCAGGGGAAAUAUCUGAAUCUCUGACUUUUUUUACCCUGAAACCAUGUGUUGGAAAAUGGGAAUCUAGUUAAUUUUAGCCAUUUUAAUCUUGUUGUCCAAUUUAACUUAUAAAUGAGCUGCUUUUUCUCUUAAGAGUCUGCCUACAGAGCGCCCAAUUUAGUUAAACCACAAGUUUAGGAUUAAAAAGGACUUGAAAGGCUGCAGAUUAUUUGAGUUAGUCCACAGGAGUUGCUCUGCCAUACUGUCAUUUGUUAAAAACCAACCUUGUCAUUUACGCACAUUGCCUCAUCUUGCCUCUAUUUGUCACCCACAUGCCACAUUAUUAUCCACAUUUAAAAAAUGAAAAAAUGUACUGAA